rnacentral:rRNA from 1 species
GACGAACGCUGGCGGCGUGCUUAACACAUGCAAGUCGAACGGAAAGGCCCUGCUUUUGUGGGGUGCUCGAGUGGCGAACGGGUGAGUAACACGUGAGUAACCUGCCCUUGACUUUGGGAUAACUUCAGGAAACUGGGGCUAAUACCGGAUAGGAGCUCCUGCUGCAUGGUGGGGGUUGGAAAGUUUCGGCGGUUGGGGAUGGACUCGCGGCUUAUCAGCUUGUUGGUGGGGUAGUGGCUUACCAAGGCUUUGACGGGUAGCCGGCCUGAGAGGGUGACCGGCCACAUUGGGACUGGGAUACGGCCCAGACUCCUACGGGAGGCAGCAGUGGGGAAUAUUGCACAAUGGGCGGAAGCCGGAUGCAGCAACGCCGCGUGCGGGAUGACGGCCUUCGGGUUGUAAACCGCUUUCGCCUGUGACGAAGCGUGAGUGACGGUAAUGGGUAAAGAAGCACCGGCUAACUACGU